CGGAGUUCGAUUAAGCCAUGCGAGUCGAGAGGUGCAAGACCUCGGCAUACUGCUCAGUAACACGUGGACAAUCUACCCUGUGGAGGGGGAUAACCCCGGGAAACUGGGGAUAAUACCCCAUAGACUAUGGAUGCUGGAAUGCUCUGUAGCCGAAAGGUCCGCCGCCACAGGAUGAGUCUGCGGCCGAUUAGGUUGUUGUUGGGGUAACGGCCCAACAAGCCUGUAAUCGGUACGGGUUGUGGGAGCAAGAGCCCGGAGAUGGAUUCUGAGACACGAAUCCAGGCCCUACGGGGCGCAGCAGGCGCGAAAACUUUGCAAUGCGGGAAACCGUGACAAGGGAACUCCGAGUGCCCGUAAAUUCGGGCUGUCCGCCAGUGUAAAAAACUGGUGAAGAAAGGGCCGGGCAAGACCGGUGCCAGCCGCCGCGGUAAUACCGGCGGCUCGAGUGGUGGCCACUAUUACUGGGCUUAAAGCGUUCGUAGCUGGCCUGUUAAGUCUCUGGGGAAAUCUU
rnacentral:rRNA from 1 species